rnacentral:rRNA from 1 species
GAUGAACGCUGGCGGCGUGCCUAAUACAUGCAAGUCGAGCGAACAGACGAGGAGCUUGCUCCUCUGACGUUAGCGGCGGACGGGUGAGUAACACGUGGAUAACCUACCUAUAAGACUGGGAUAACUUCGGGAAACCGGAGCUAAUACCGGAUAAUAUAUUGAACCGCAUGGUUCAAUAGUGAAAGACGGUUUUGCUGUCACUUAUAGAUGGAUCCGCGCCGCAUUAGCUAGUUGGUAAGGUAACGGCUUACCAAGGCGACGAUGCGUAGCCGACCUGAGAGGGUGAUCGGCCACACUGGAACUGAGACACGGUCCAGACGCCUACGGGAGGCAGCAGUAGGGAAUCUUCCGCAAUGGGCGAAAGCCUGACGGAGCAACGCCGCGUGAGUGAUGAAGGUCUUCGGAUCGUAAAACUCUGUUAUUAGGGAAGAACAAAUGUGUAAGUAACUAUGCACGUCUUGACGGUACCUAAGCAGAAAGCCACGGCUAACUACGU